AUGGCCAAGGUUGCACGCGAAGACGACAGUGGAGAGCUCCAGGACGACGUCCUCCUCGACAUCUUCCAGCGCGUGCGUGGUUUCCGUGACAUCAUCCGCUGCGCCCCGACGUGCAAACAGUGGCGCCGCCUCGUCACCGACCGGGCCUUCCUCCAGCGUAUAGGCCUCUGGCCGGAGAACGCCAACCAUCCAUCUAUCUUAGUUGGAAUCUUCUCCUCCAACGCCCCGCCGUUCCACGACAUCCCCAAGGACCUCAAGCCUUUGAACAGGGAACCACAUCGCCCUCCGCAGUUCUCGGGCCUCGAGACUGGCACCGUGCAUUUCAUCUUCGACUCCGUUGUUGCAAAUGACAAUGGGCUUUUCAACCACGCAAGACCGAUGGCGUCACGCCGCGGCCUCCUCCUCCUCGAAGUCUUCCUGCCUCAACCCGUCGGUGACUACCGUGAGCUUCAUCUCGCCGUAUGUCGCCCUAUGAUUGAUAGACGGGACACACGUCUUCUUCCACCACCCCCCUUCAACAUGAUUGAACUGAUGAGCCGUGUGCGCAAUAUAACUGGCUACGCAAUUCUCACCGAUGCUGAUCAUGACGUUGGAGGUAACAUGGACCAGCAGAAGCCAACGUUUCAAGUGAUCUUGACUUACAGGGGUGAUGACAGAUUCGUGCAUGUGUGCACGUAUUUCUCUGCCACAAACAGUUGGAGUGCCCCCACAAGUGUUGCAAGGCUUCCAGGUUCCUUCUAUCACAUGAGUUAUUUACUAGGAUUUCGAUCAAAGUUAACAAUAUCUUGCCGUGGUCUUGGCCACGACCACCAAUCCCAUGCAUUGACGGAGAAGGAAAGCUUUCGUUUGUUAAUAUCCAACAUCAUGGCGUGCUAG
rnacentral:rRNA from 1 species